AGCGAACGCUGGCGGCAGGCUUAACACAUGCAAGUCGAGCGGGCAUCCUUGUGGUGUCAGCGGCAGACGGGUGAGUAACGCGUGGGAACGUGCCCUUCGGUUCGGAAUAACUCAGGGAAACUUGAGCUAAUACCGGAUACGUGCGAGAGCAGAAAGGUUUAUCUGCCGAAGGAUCGGCCCGCGUCUGAUUAGCUAGGUGGUGAGGUUACGGCUCACCAAGGCGACGAUCAGUAGCUGGUCUGAGAAGAUGAUCAGCCACACUGGGACUGAGACACGGCCCAGACUCCUACGGGAGGCAGCAGUGGGGAAUAUUGGACAAUGGGGGCAACCCUGAUCCAGCCAUGCCGCGUGAGUGAUGACGGCCUUAGGGUUGUAAAGCUCUUUUCUCCGGGACGAUAAUGACGGUACCGGAGGAAUAAGCCCCGGCUAACUUCGUG
rnacentral:rRNA from 1 species